CGGGAAAAAGAACCAACAGGGAUUGCCCUAGUAACGGCGAGUGAAGCGGCAACAGCUCAAAUUUGAAAUCUGGCUCUUUCAGAGUCCGAGUUGUAAUUUGCAGAGGGUGCUUUGGUGGUAGUUGCGGUCUAAGUUCUUUGGAACAGGACGUCACAGAGGGUGAGAAUCCCGUAUGUGGUCGCUACUUAUCACCGUGUAAAGCCCCUUCGACGAGUCGAGUUGUUUGGGAAUGCAGCUCUAAAUGGGAGGUAAAUUUCUUCUAAAGCUAAAUACUGGCCAGAGACCGAUAGCGCACAAGUAGAGUGAUCGAAAGAUGAAAAGCACUUUGGAAAGAGAGUCAAAUAGCACGUGAAAUUGUUGAAAGGGAAGCGCUUGCAGCCAGACUUGCCUGUAGUUGCUUACCUAGACUUUUGUCUGGGGUACUCUUCUGCAGGCAGGCCAGCAUCAGUUUGGGCGGUUGGAUAAAGGUCUCUGUCACGUACCUCCUUUCGGGGAGGCCUUAUAGGGGAGACGUCAUACAACCAGCCUGGACUGAGGUCCGCGCAUCUGCUAGGAUGCUGGCGUAAUGGCUGUAAGCGGCCCGUCUUGAAACACGGACCAAGGAGUCUAACAUCUAUGCGAGUGUUUGGGUGUCAAGCCCAUACGCGUAAUGAAAGUGAACGGAGGUGGGAACCUUAGGGUGCACCAUCGACCGAUCCUGAUGUCUUCGGAUGGAUUUGAGUAAGAGCAUGGCUGUUGGGACCCGAAAGAUGGUGAACUAUGCUUGAAUAGGGUGAAGCCAGAGGAAACUCUGGUGGAGGCUCGCAGCGGUUCUGACGUGCAAAUCGAUCGUCAAAUUUGGGCAUAGGGGCGAAAGACUAAUC
rnacentral:rRNA from 1 species